CCUACGGGUGGCAGCAGUGAGGAAUAUUGGUCAAUGGACGGGAGACUGAACCAGCCAAGUAGCGUGAAGGAUGACUGUCCUAAGGGUUGUAAACUUCUUUUAUAAAGGAAUAAAACGAGGCACGUGUGCCUUGUUGCAUGUACUUUAUGAAUAAGGAUCGGCUAACUCCGUGCCAGCAGCCGCGGUAAUACGGAGGAUGCGAGCGUUAUCCGGAUUUAUUGGGUUUAAAGGGAGCGUAGAUGGGUUGUUAAGUCAGUUGUGAAAGGUUGCGGCUCAACCGUGAAAGUGCAAUUGAAACUGGCAGUCUCGAGUAGAGUUGAGGUAUGCGGAAUGCGUGGUGUAGCGGUGAAAUGCUUAGAUAUCACGAAGAACCCCGAUUGCGAAGGCAGCUUGCUGACCUGUGACUGACAUUGAUGCUCGAAAGUGUGGGUAUCAAACAGGAUUAGAUACCCGAGUAGUC
rnacentral:rRNA from 1 species